UCCUGGUUAGCUCAGUUGGCAGAGCGCUCCACUGGAAAGGGAAAGGUCUCUUGUUCGACACCAGGAUCAGGCG
rnacentral:tRNA from 1 species